AGAGUUUGAUCAUGGCUCAGAGCCAACGCUGGCGGCGUGCCUAAUACAUGCAAGUCGAACGGGGAAGUACCUUCGGGUAUUGUACUAGUGGCGUACGGGUGAGUAACACGUGGAUAAUCUGCCCUCAGGUGGGGAAUAACUAACCGGAAGGUUAGCUAAUACCGCAUAAGACCACAAUCUCUACGGAGAAAGGGGUUAAAGGCUUCGGUCGCCUGAGGAUGAGUCCGCGUCCCAUUAGCUAGUUGGUAGGGUAAUGGCCUACCAAGGCAUCGAUGGGUAGCUGGUCUGAGAGGAUGAUCAGCCACACUGGGACUGAGACACGGCCCAGACUCCUACGGGAGGCAGCAGUAGGGAAUAUUGCACAAUGGAGGAAACUCUGAUGCAGCGACGCCGCGUGAGUGAUGAAGGCCUUCGGGUUGUAAAGCUCUGUUCUCAGGGAAAAAGAAAGUGAUUGUACCUGAGGAGAAAGGACCGGCUAACUUCGUGCCAGCAGCCGCGGUAAGACGAGGGGUCCUAGCGUUGCUCGGAAUUAUUGGGCGUAAAGCGGGUGUAGGUGGCUUUGUAAGUCAGAAGUGAAAGCCCCAGGCUUAACCUGGGAAGUGCUUUUGAUACUGCUUAGCUUGAGUGUGGGAGAGGAUAGUAGAAUUCCUGGUGUAGUGGUGAAAUACGUAGAUAUCAGGAGGAAUACCGGUGGCGAAGGCGGCUAUCUGGCCCAACACUGACACUCAGACCCGAAAGCGUGGGGAUCAAACAGGAUUAGAUACCCUAGUAGUCC
rnacentral:rRNA from 1 species